UGUAAUUAUAAAUAGCCGCGGUAAUUUGACUGUGCAAAGGUAGCAUAAUCAUUAGUUUUUUAAUUGGGAACUGGAAUGAAGGGUUUGACGGGGGAAAGCUUUCUGAUUUUGAAUGUUUGAAUUUGAUUUUAUUGUAAAAAUGCAAUAAUAAGUUUAUGUGACGAGAAGACCCCAUAAAGUUUUAUAUUAAGAUUGUUUUUGGUUGAGUUGUUUUUUAUUUUGUUGGGGCAAUGUGUGUUAUUGUAAAAUAGUUUAUUUAGUUUAAUUUUUUUUUAGAUUUUGGUUGAUCCAGUUAUAUUGAUAUUUGGAUAAAUUACUUUGGGGAUAACAGCGUAAUUAUGCUGGAGAGUUCUUAUUGAUGGUGUAGUUUGCGACCUCGAUGUUGAAUUAAGAUACCUAGAAGUUGAAGUAGAUUUUUGUAGGGGGUCUGUUCGACCUUUAAAUUCUUACG
rnacentral:rRNA from 1 species